AGCUUUCUGUAUCCGUGCUGAGAUUGCGUCACACACCAAAACACAAAGGCUAAUGAGACUCCCAAAAUAAGUAAAGCG
rfam:Schistosoma haematobium scaffold1738_3, whole genome shotgun sequence.